rfam:Eutrema salsugineum unplaced genomic scaffold scaffold_7, whole genome shotgun sequence.
GCUUCAGUAGCUCAGAUGGCUAGAGCGUGUGGCUGUUAACCACAAGGUCGGAGGUUCAAGCCCUCCCUGGAGCG